AUGGAUGUGAUUCAGUGGUACAAGCCUUGUCUGCCAAACAGGAGACCUGGGUUCAAUUCCCAGACACUUAUA
rfam:Alligator sinensis unplaced genomic scaffold scaffold130_2, whole genome shotgun sequence